GGGCAACGACUUCACUCCAACCCCUGUGACAUACCAAUUGUUGCCUCGGCGGAUCAGCCCGCUCCCGGUAAAACGGGACGGCCCGCCAGAGGACCCCUAAACUCUGUUUCUAUAUGUAACUUCUGAGUAAAACCAUAAAUAAAUCAAAACUUUCAACAACGGAUCUCUUGGUUCUGGCAUCGAUGAAGAACGCAGCAAAAUGCGAUAAGUAAUGUGAAUUGCAGAAUUCAGUGAAUCAUCGAAUCUUUGAACGCACAUUGCGCCCGCCAGUAUUCUGGCGGGCAUGCCUGUUCGAGCGUCAUUUCAACCCUCAAGCCCCCGGGUUUGGUGUUGGGGAUCGGCGAGCCCUUGCGGCAAGCCGGCCCCGAAAUCUAGUGGCGGUCUCGCUGCAGCUUCCAUUGCGUAGUAGUAAAACCCUCGCAACUGGUACGCGGCGCGGCCAAGCCGUUAAACCCCCAACUUCUGAAUGUUGACCUCGGAUCAGGUAGGAAUACCCGCUGAACUUAAGCAUAUCAUAUCCGGGAGGGAA
rnacentral:rRNA from 1 species